rnacentral:rRNA from 1 species
AUUGAACGCUGGCGGCAGGCCUAACACAUGCAAGUCGAGCGGAGCUGCGGACGGGUGAGUAAUGCCUAGGAAUCUGCCUGGUAGUGGGGGAUCACGUCCGGAAACGGGCGCUAAUACCGCAUACUAUCAGAUGAGACUAGGUCGGAUUAGCUGGUGGGUGGGGGAAAGGCACACCAAGGCGACGAUCCGUAACUGGUCUGAGAGGAUGAUCAGUCACACUGCAGUGGAGACAAGGCCCAUACUACUACGCGAGGCGGCAGUGGGGAAUAUUGCACAAUGGGAGCAAGCCUGAUGCAGCCAUGCCGCGUGUAUGAAUAAGGCCUUCUGGUAGUAAAGUAAUUUCAGUGGGGAGGCGUUACCCUAAGAAGAAGCACCGGCUAACUCCGUGCCAGCAGCCGCGGUAAUUC